rnacentral:tRNA from 1 species
GCCGCCUUAGCUCAGUUGGUAGAGCGCACGCUUGUGGAGCGUGAUGUCGCUGGUUCGAGCCCAGCAGGCGGUACCA